GUGAGGAAUAUUGGUCAAUGGGCGAGAGCCUGAACCAGCCAAGUAGCGUGCAGGACGACGGCCCUAUGGGUUGUAAACUGCUUUUAUACGGGGAUAAAGUGGGCCAUGCAUGGCCUUUUGCAUGUACCGUAUGAAUAAGGACCGGCUAAUUCCGUGCCAGCAGCCGCGGUAAUACGGAAGGUCCGGGCGUUAUCCGGAUUUAUUGGGUUUAAAGGGAGCGCAGGCGGACAGUUAAGCGUGACGUGAAAUGCAGCGGCUCAACCGUAUGAAGUGCGUCGCGAACUGGCAGUCUUGAGUGAGUACGAUGUAGGCGGAAUUUGUGGUGUAGCGGUGAAAUGCUUAGAUAUCACGAAGAACUCCGAUUGCGAAGGCAGCCUACAAGUCCUUUACUGACGCUAAAGCUCGAAGGUGCGGGUAUCGAACAGGAUUAGAAACCCUAGUAGUCC
rnacentral:rRNA from 1 species